AUCUCUUUAGUAUAAAGUAUGUCUGACUUCCAAUCAGAAGGACCGCUAGUCGUGGAAGAGAUA
rnacentral:tRNA from 1 species